rnacentral:tRNA from 1 species
CAGGUGUAGCUCAAUGGCAGAGCACCGGCUUCCCAAGCCGGCUACGAGGGUUCGAUUCCCUUCACCUG